rnacentral:rRNA from 1 species
AACGUAGGGUGCUAGCGUUGUUCGGAAUUAUUGGGCGUAAAGCGCGUGUAGGCUGUUUAUUAAGUCGGGUGUGAAAUCCCUGGGCUCAACCUAGGAAGUGCAUUCGAAACUAGUAAACUAGAAGAUGGUAGAGGAAGGUGGAAUUCCAAGUGUAGAGGUGAAAUUCGUAGAUAUUUGGAGGAAUACCGGCGGCGAAGGCGGCCUUCUGGACCAUUCUUGACGCUGAGACGCGAAAGCGUGGGUAGCAAACAGG